rnacentral:rRNA from 1 species
AUUGAACGCUGGCGGCAUGCUUUACACAUGCAAGUCGAACGGCAGCGCGGGCUUCGGCCUGGCGGCGAGUGGCGAACGGGUGAGUAAUACAUCGGAACGUGCCCAGUAGUGGGGGAUAGCUCGGCGAAAGCCGGAUUAAUACCGCAUACGACCUGAGGGUGAAAGCGGGGGAUCUUCGGACAUCGCGCUAUUGGAGCGGCCGAUGGCAGAUUAGCUAGUUGGUGGGGUAAAGGCCUACCAAGGCGACGAUCUGUAGCUGGUCUGAGAGGACGACCAGCCACACUGGGACUGGGCCACGGCCCAGACUCCUACGGGAGGCAGCAGUGGGGAAUUUUGGACAAUGGGCGAAAGCCUGAUCCAGCAAUGCCGCGUGUGUGAUGAAGGCCUUCGGGUUUUAAAGCACUUUUGGCGGGAACGAAAAGGACUGUGCCAAUACCACGGUUCGAUGACGGUACCCGCAGAAUAAGCACCGGCUAACUACGUG